rnacentral:rRNA from 1 species
GACGAACGCUGGCGGCGUGCUUAACACAUGCAAGUCGAACGGAAAGGCCCUGCUUUUGUGGGGUGCUCGAGUGGCGAACGGGUGAGUAACACGUGAGUAACCUGCCCUUGACUUUGGGAUAACUUCAGGAAACUGGGGCUAAUACAGGAUAGGAGCUCCUGCUGCAUGGUGGGGGUUGGAAAGUUUCGGCGGUUGGGGAUGGACUCGCGGCUUAUCAGCUUGUUGGUGGGGUAGUGGCUUACCAAGGCUUUGACGGGUAGCCGGCCUGAGAGGGUGACCGGCCACAUUGGGACUGAGAUACGGCCCAGACUCCUACGGGAGGCAGCAGUGGGGAAUAUUGCACAAUGGGCGGAAGCCUGAUGCAGCAACGCCGCGUGCGGGAUGACGGCCUUCGGGUUGUAAACCGCUUUCGCCUGUGACGAAGCGUGAGUGAUGGUAAUGGGUAAAGAAGCACCGGCUAACUACGUG